AGCUCAGGGUUCUUUUCAUUGCCGCAUAAAUCUUUCGCCUUUUACUAAUUAUUUCCGGAGCGAGACAUGUUAAUGAGUUCAACAUAUUUUUGUAAGCUUUUUGUGAUUUGUGGAA